UCCCCGUUUUCCGGGGCGGUUCCCUUAGGGUGCCCAGCGUUACCUGAUGGCAACUAAGGGUAAGGGUUGCGCUCGUUGCGGGACUUAACCCAACAUCUCACGACACGAGCUGACGACAGCCAUGCAGCACCUCGAUAACCGUCUCCGAAGAGAACCCCCUGUUUCCAAGAGUAGCAGUUACCGUUCGAGCCCCGGUAAGGUUCUUCGCGUUGCGUCGAAUUGAACCACAUGCUCCACCGCUUGUGCGGGCCCCCGUCAAUUCCUUUGAGUUUCAGUCUUGCGACCGUACUCCCCAGGCGGGGCACUUAACGUGUUAACUCCGGCACCGGGGGACUCAAUACCCCCGACACCAAGUGCCCAUCGUUUAGGGCUAGGACUAC
rnacentral:misc_RNA from 1 species